rnacentral:lncRNA from 1 species
CGGGUUAUAUUAUAAUUAGACACUCUUAUACUUGGGAGUAAUACAAUUUUAAGUCGUGUCAAUGGUACAAACAAGCCCUUAUAGUUUUGGUUUUGUAUUGGGUAUCACAUAUGAUACUUAAUUCUUCAAUUCAAACAAAUACUACGCCAAUAAUAAGACAAGACGGUAAUAUAAUUGAAUUCAAGACGUACCAAAUACGCUAUCUCUCUCUCUCUCUCUCUCUCUCUCUCUCUCUCUGUGUGUGUGUGUGUGUGUGUGUGUGUGUGUGUGUGUGUAUGUAUAC